CAUGAAACAAACACGCAACCUUGAUAGUUAAAUGAAUGCGCCGAAGUUAAAAGUCAUUGAAUCAGGCGUCUUAGCAGCAGCAUAUAAAAGCGGCUUUGAAUACAAAAGUUUUUUUUAUCUUUGAGAACAAUAGGCCAUUUCAAGGCUCGAGAAAACCCGAAGGAAUAGAAACUACAAAAAUGAAGCCUGUAUGUGCGGUAAUGCUGUUGAUUCUCCUUUUUGCAACCUGUGAGGAAGCGCUUGGAGCAAUGCGUUGUCCUGAUGUGGCGGG